UGUAAAAACUGUAAUGUAGGUUGUGACUGUAGGGGUUUGUAGUUCUCAUGGGUAUUACUGCUCUUUUUUCCCACAGUUAACAGAAUUUCAACAAAGAAACAGCCCUGCUGUUCCAACACGAGCGAGACGGAGAAAGAAAAGAAACAACAAUAGCCCUGAGACAGGCACUUCUGAUGGUUGCCAGUCACCAUGCCAUUCAGCAGCAGGUGGUCCCAAGGAGGGCCCUGCACCAUGUGCCACCAUGAAAGAUCCAGAGCCCUCGAGCCGCUGUGGAGCAGUCCUUGAGCAGCAGUUACAGCAGUUUCUACAGGAGCGGGAACUGCUAAAAGCACAGGUGGCAGAGGUGACGGAGUCUCUUAAGAAAGCUCAGCUAGAAAGAGACACAUACGCUCAACAGCUCAAAACAGAGAGGGCGCGGUGGCAGCAGCAAUUGCUGAAAAUGGCAGGAGAAGUGAGAGCUGACCCUUCAGCCCCCACCUUAGAUGGCUCACUGGAUCUUCCUGGGCAUCUGUAAAAAGAGAAUAGUCCAGCCAGGGGUGGUCACGGGACUGGGCUUUGUGGAGCUGGGGGCGGAGAGGGAGAUGGUAGCCUGUCCAGCCACCAGCCCCUCUCUCCAGGGCCCUUUCCCCCUGUGCUUUGGGCAGAUUGAAAUAUUCAAAAUGGAGAAAAGACAGGACGCAAUUAAAAUCGAGGAGC